rnacentral:rRNA from 1 species
AAAGGAAGGGGGAAUCCACGUCCAUCACAGUACAUGACGGCGUUCCAGCAAGCGAUCGAUGACUGAAAUUUGCAUGAUAUGGGCUAUGUUGGUGAUAUUUUUACUUGGCGCCGUGGGAGAAUAAGGGAGAGGCUCGACAGAGGUUUGAUCAAUGAUGCAUGGGCGGACUUAUUUCCUAAUGCAAAUUUAGAACACCAGAAUUUUAAUCAUUCUGACCAUAGACCACUGCUUGUUGAUACCGAUUACUUUGUUGGUGUCAGCCCGAAUCAGCAAGGUCCUAAGAGAUUUGAAGCGCGGUGGCUAUGGGAAUAUCUUUUCCCCAACCUAGUACAGGAAACCUGGGACAAACUUGGUACUGAUCCCAAUGUCUUAGGGGUAUUCGAGAAACUCUCGCGUAUGCACUCAGCUUUUCACGAUUGGGAUCAAAGGGUGCUAAAAAACCAAAGAAAAGGCUUCGGAAAGCACAACGGGAACUAUAGGAAGCAAUGGCGGGUCCGAUGA